CAAGUGAGUUGGGUAGUCGCGAGGGUAAUAAUAUAUUGCUUUCGAGGAAAGUCCGAGCUCCAUAGGGCCAGGGUGCUGGGUAACACCCAGUGGGGGCGACCCUCAGGAAAGUGCCACAGAAAUAAACCGCCAGUCUUACUGGUAAGGGUGAAAAGGUGUGGUAAGAGCGCACCAGCAGUCAGGUGACUGACUGGCUAGGUAAACCCCACUCGGAGCAAGACCAAAUAGGGAAGGGAUGAAGUAGCCCGCUGACCUUCCGGGUAUGGUCGCUAGAGGUGUCAGGUAACUGGCAUCGUAGAUAGAUGACUAUCACUCUAUAAAGAGUACAGAACUCGGCUUAUAAACUUACUUGAAAC
rnacentral:RNase_P_RNA from 1 species